CAAUAGCAUAUAUUAAAGUUGUUGCAGUUAAAAAGCUCGUAGUUGGAUUUCUGGGAGGAAUCCAAAGUCCGUCGCUUGACGUGUGCUGCGAAUUCCCCCCAUCCUUCUGUUAACGAUUCUUGGUAUUCAUUUACUGGUUUCGGGCUCAGAUAUUUUACCUUGAGAAAAUUAGAGUGUUUCAGGCAGGCUUGCGCCGGAAUACAUUAGCAUGGAAUAAUAGAAUAGGACGUUUUGCUCCUUUGUUGGUUUGAGAGCAUCGUAAUGAUUAAUAGGGAUAGUUGGGGGCAUUAGUAUUUAAUUGUCAGAGGUGAAAUUCUCGGAUUUGUUAAAGACUAACUUAUGCGAAAGCAUUUGCCAAGGAUGUUUUCAUUAA
rnacentral:rRNA from 1 species